GAUGAACGCUAGCGGCAGGCCUAAUACAUGCAAGCUGAACGGCAAGAUUUGUAGCAAUACGGAUCCUAGAGUAGCGUAAGGGUGCGUAACACGUAUGCAAUCUACCCGCAACAGGAGGAUAGCUCUUCGAAAGAGGAAUUAAGACUCCAUAAUACCAUUUGAGGGCAUCUGAGGAUGGUGAAACUACAAGGGGUUGCGGAUGAGGAUGCGUCUGAUUAGUUAGUUGGCGGGGUAACGGCCCACCAAGACGAUGAUCAGUAGGGGAACUGAGAGGUUGGUCCCCCACACUGGCACUGAGUAACGAGCCAGACUCCUACAGGAGGCAGCAGUAGGGAAUAUUGGACAAUGGGUGCAAGCCUGAUCCAGCCAUGCCGCGUGCAGGAAGAAAGCCUUCUGGGUUGUAAACUGCUUUUUUCAGGGGAUAAAAUACCGGUGCGCCGGGAAUUGCAAGUACCUGGAGAAUAAGCCACGGCUAACUACGUGCCAGCCGCCGCAGUAAGAC
rnacentral:rRNA from 1 species